CCGCCCCCAGGCCGGGCCGCGGGGCAGGCUCGCCGCCCCAGCCCGCUUGGCACGCCCUCAGCCCGCUGGAAGCCUGCAGGGUCUCCAUGGUUUUCCUUUGGGCCCCAGAAAGGCCUUGAACUUGGUCAGAGUUGUGGGGUGAAGCCACAGAUUUCUGGAGGCAUUUGGGGGACGUGAAGAACGUCCACGACAGAUGGGUGCUGGCAGCUACAGUGUUGUGGUUUUCACCUGCGGUCAGCCCUCAGCUAAAGACACUGAAACAACCUGAGGGAUGGAGGUACAGACAGCUAAGCCGACAUCUGUGGCUCUGGGAUCUCAUCUUGGGUGUGGCAGUUCCUCUGUGGACGUUUGCCGGAUGAAUGAACAAAAGAGGAGCCCACGGAGGCCAAAUGCAAUGAGACUUGUCUGAAGAGCCCUAAGCUGUGCCGCUUCCUCGUGGGACCUGAGGGGCUAGAGGCCCUCUGUACAGCACUUCCGAUGAGACUGGACUGGUGGAAGGCGCUACCCUGCCUUGGGGUCCUUCCCACCCCCAUCUCCGGCCCUGACUCUGGCCUUGGACUGCGGGGCUCCAGGCUGGCAAUGGCGACUCUGCCACCCUGGCUCUUUGCGAGAGGAAGGAUUGAGACGGCCCAUCCCACUGGAAGAGGUGGAUAAGCAGGAACUAGAAAAACUGAUUAAAGGGACCUUAGUCGAAGAAAGAGCAGAAGGUGAAACACAGGGCAGUCCCACAGAGUGACCCAGAGAAUCUGAGCCCCGAGAUUUAAAUUUAGCUCAGGUUUAUCAAAUGUAAUCCUAAAACCUGAAGUUCAUGUCUCUCCCUAGUCCCGCCACUGUUAUCCCAGGCCAGGGUCACACUGCUGCCUGUUCCUACUCUCCUGGUCUGUGAAACUGUCAUCUCGUGAUUCUUGGGCCCAUAGACCUCAGUAACCUGUCAACAAAGAGGUGUCUGGGGAGUUCCCAUUGUGGUGCAGCGGAAACGAAUCUGACC